rnacentral:lncRNA from 1 species
AAGUUCUCAGCUUGACUCUGCUUUCAUUUUUCAUUUCUCAGCCCCUUGAGUUCAAAGGGAGCUCCAGCAUCUCUACAUAUCCCAUGCCAUCCAUGGGCCAGCAGCCUCUUCUCCAGCACCUUGAGCAAAAGUUGGGGCGAUGAUCACUGGGGAAAAGACAUGGACUUGGAUUCUUUGAACUUGCGUGCAGUGAUGGAAUGCUGAUGAGGAGCAGUUGGCCCUGUGACUUCUGAUCUGCAAAACAACAUUAGGAAACUCUUAGUAUCACCAUUAUUGGUGCCAGGCAGCUGUCAGCUGUUCUGCUGUUGACCGGAUUUCAUCUUGUGUUCACCAGUCAACAUCAGCUCUGCCAAUCUCAGGAAACCAACUCCAGACCACUCUAUUUUCUGAUGUAGAAGCACCUCCACACGCCAGUCCAGCUUUCUCGAAUGGCUUCAUCCAUGUUUUCCUUACUAUGUGGAAGACCACCUACUGGAGCAGACACUGUGCCAGCCUGUGCCUUGGAGUGAGGAGUGGGACAUUUGCUGUGAUUGUUUACAGAGUGUUAAAACCAGAAGGUCAGAAAGCUAAGAACCCAAGUGACUGAACUAACCAAAUGAAGGACUUUGGAUUGACUCUCAGGCCUGUCUUCUUGUAUGACCCACGAUUCCCAAUAAA